rnacentral:rRNA from 1 species
UGCGGAGGGAUCAUUACUGAGUUACCGCUCUAUAACCCUUUGUGAACAUACCUAACCGUUGCUUCGGCGGGCAGGGGAAGCCUCUCGCGGGCCUCCCCUCCCGGCGCCGGCCCCACCACGGGGACGGGGCGCCCGCCGGAGGAAACCAAACUCUAUUUACACGACGUCUCUUCUGAGUGGCACAAGCAAAUAAUUAAAACUUUUAACAACGGAUCUCUUGGUUCUGGCAUCGAUGAAGAACGCAGCGAAAUGCGAUAAGUAAUGUGAAUUGCAGAAUUCAGUGAAUCAUCGAAUCUUUGAACGCACAUUGCGCUCGCCAGCAUUCUGGCGAGCAUGCCUGUUCGAGCGUCAUUUCAACCCUCAAGCACCGCUUGGUUUUGGGGCCCCACGGCACACGUGGGCCCUUAAAGGUAGUGGCGGACCCUCCCGGAGCCUCCUUUGCGUAGUAACUAACGUCUCGCACUGGGAUCCGGAGGGACUCUUGCCGUAAAACCCCCCAAUUUUUUACAGGUUGACCUCGGAUCAGGUAGGAAUACCCGCUGAACUUAAGCAUAUCAAUAAGCGGAGGAA